CUAUGAUUUUUCUAUUAUGGAUAGUUCUGUGGAAUGAAAUCUCAAUCAUUAUUUUCAUUUUCAACAGCCUGUAAUUUUCCAUGUCCAAAAAUAUACAAGCCAGUGUGUGGAUCAGACGGAAAGACGUAUGGCAACGCCUGUGAAUUGAGAAGAGCUGAUUGCAAAAGUCCUGGAAAAAUUCAUAUUAUUCACAAUGGCCCUUGUUGUAAGAACAAUUGACAAAUUAAUAUAGGAAAUCUUAAUUUGCAUAGUUUCCAUCUGGACUGUAUCGUAAAGUAUGAUUUGUAUUCGUGUCAAUCUCAUUAGAACUGCCCCACAUGCAUGCAGUGAUUAGCGCUCCCCCUAGUGAGUAUACUAACGUUUAUAUAGUUACGAAAGAAAUAUGUUGCUUACUUCAUUUUUUAAUUUCUUUCGAAUUUUGUUCAUCCAACUCAAAAAAGAUAGGUUUUCGUUGUUUAAUAUUAGUACUCAAGUACCAGGGGGUGAAGGCGAGUACCAUAAUUCCGCUUGGGCCUACGAUAUCAUGCAACUGAUGUGCAUCAUAGUCUUUCGAGACAUGGUCUGGAAACUCAGUAAACUUCAAAGCGGUUAUAAUGAGCUGUGUGUUUAUGUUGAGCCGUACCUUACACCGUGCACAUCCUUUGUUUUAGGUUUAUUAAUAUUUAAAUAGCAUGGUUGAAUGACUGAACUGAAACGUUGCUAUUGGAUGAUUCGUUCAUUACACUGAAAUACAAUGUGUUCAUUGACCGUGCACCGUGCACAAAACUGCAUAAACGCGAACAAAAAGAUAGAACAAAGACUUUACCGGAGUUUCCAAACCAUGUUUUGAAAGACUAUGUGUGCAUGUAUAUACGCGUAUGACGAACGUCUGACUGGAAUACAAGCUUUAAUAUUACAUCUUGUUUUUAAUUUUGCUAGAUUGUUUAUUGCCGAAAGUGAUUGGUCCAUGCAAAGCUCGUAUGCCUCGUUACUUCUACAAUCGGAGAACUGGAAGAUGUGAAUUAUUCUAUUAUGGAGGAUGUUUAGGAAAUAAGAAUAAUUUUAAAACGAAACAGGCUUGUGAGGCUACAUGUAGGCGAAGUGAGUUUUACCAAGUGUCUAAGGUCACACUUUCUAGUAUAUGUCAUUAUGUAGUUGAAAGUUUGUCAUGUAAGAUUAAGAAGCUUUAACACGUCGAGUAUAUACCAACAUAUAUAUAAAUUAAUAAAUAUAUAGUACCAUCAAUACUCUCUUUGCAUGCACCCAUAGAGAGGAUUAUUUAUUUCAGGCAUAUUAUAAGGGUUACUUAUUUGAGAGAGAAGAGGGGCCCUCAGUGGAGAAAGAAGGUGGAGGCUGAUUGAUUUAAAUAAAAACUCAGUCAAUCGUGACUAAGAAAUUAAAAACCAAAAAUGAAUUUCUAGGUAAAAUAAUGUAUCUAAUCAAUACAUUAUAUCAUCAUGUAUAUACUUGGUUGCGAGGGGCUUAAUAGAGGGAGGCACUUAAUAACGUGACAGAGGGGGAGUUUAUUUGCAAGGGGUUUACUUGAGGAGGAGAGGUAAAUAUCGAUUUAUUUAGGAUAUGCCUGCAUAACAUUUAAUUAUCUUCAUUAAGUGUCUCGUUUUUUUAUUUUUUUAAUUAAUUAAAAAUUUUAAUCUUUGUUUCAGGAUUUUAAUUCACAGCCAGUUUGCCAGCUGACGUGAAAGAUUUUUUGUCUGAAUUUAUUGUACACUAAUUGCAGUUGCAAUAAUAUGUAGACCAAACUAUGUCCACUUAUAUUCAAAUAAAAGC